rnacentral:misc_RNA from 1 species
AAAAAAGCACACUUUUCCUCAUCUUCAGAGCAAUACAGUAAUGGAGGAGACAAAAAAUUCUCCUCCAAUACAAGGGGUAGUGAUAAUCACACUACCACCACCUGACAACCCUUCUUAUGGCAAAACCAUAACAGCAUUUACACUCUCAGAUUCACCCACUCAUCAGCAACAACAAGAACAAGAACAAGAAGAAGAACCACCACAACAAAGCCAACCGCAUAACCAAGAUGUAAAUGCAGGCGUUCUUCAUGUUUCCUUAGAAAGAUCCUUCUUUUUCCGCCCUACAAUCGUUUUUGGACUUCUGGGUAUCUCUCUGAUUGCCUUGUCUUUUUGGUCUUCACUUACGCAAGAGACCCUUUUCGAAUUACGUGAUGUGGAACAGGAUCAUAAGAGUUCCAACAGUUCGUUUAUUCUUCCUUUGUAUCCUAAGCGUGGUGGUGCCUGGAAUUCAAGGACGGAUGUUGAAUUCAAACUUGGGAGGUUUGUGGAUUUCAAACCGGAUAACUUUAUGGAUCAAGAAAAGAUUGCCAAGUCUCUUUCUGCUGCAACCAAGUUGGAUUCUUCUGCUAAUUUUCCUGUUAGGGGUAAUAUUCAUUCAGAAGGGUUGUACUACACAUAUAUGCUUGUUGGGAAUCCUCCUAAGCCUUAUUUUCUUGAUAUUGAUACGGGAAGUGAUUUGAUGUGGAUCCAAUGUGAUGCUCCAUGCACUAGUUGUGCCAAGGGAGCCCACCCCUUGUACAAGCCCAGAAAUGUCAAUAUGAUACCUCCCAAAAACCCAUAUUGUGUUGAGGUACAAGAGAAUCUGAGAUCCAAGUAUUGUGAUAACUGCCAUCAAUGUGAUUAUGAGAUAGAAUACGCUGACCGCAGCUCUUCUGUUGGGGUUCUUGCAAAGGAUGAACUUCAAUUGGUGCUUGCAAAUGGGACUGGAACCAAGCCAAAUGUUGUUUUCGGCUGUGCAUAUGAUCAGCAAGGCACACUUCUCAACACUUUAGCAAGCACUGAUGGGAUCCUAGGACUCAGCAGAGCUCCAAUCAGUUUGCCUUCUCAGCUAGCGAGUCAUGGGUUAAUCAACAAUGUUAUUGGACAUUGUCUUCGCACUGAUACAAAUGGGGGCUACUUGUUCCUAGGCAAUGACUUUGUCCCACAGUGGCGGAUGUCAUGGGUCCCUAUGCUGAAUAACCCUUUUCCUAAUCUUUAUCAAGCACAAUUGAUGAAAAUGAACUAUGGAGGCAAAGACCUUCAAUUAGGCAGCAGAGGCUAUGGACAAGAUUCUGUAGUGUUUGACAGUGGCAGUACUUAUACAUAUUUUACAGAUCAAGCAUACAAAGCUUUGAUUUCCAUGCUUGAAGAGAUUUCCAGUGAAGAUCUUAUCAAGGAUGCAUCAGAUACGACAUUACCCAUUUGCUGGCGAGCUAAAUUUCCAGUAAGAUCUAUUGAAGAGGUUAGACAAUUCUUCAAACCUCUAAACCUUCAAUUCGGAAGCAAGUGGCGUGUCGUGUCCACUAAGCUUUGGAUUCCUGCAGAAGGGUAUUUGACUAUAAGUGUGAGUAGUCCCUUGCUUUUUCUUGGUCAUUGGUACUUUGCCAUCUCCUCCCCCUCCUCUUUUGCUUCCUCUUCUAACCAACAAUGGAGAACUAUUAUACUGCAGGAAAAGAGUAAUGUGUGCUUAGGUAUACUUGAUGGAAGCAACGUUCACGAUGGCUCUGCUAUAAUACUUGGAGAUAUUUCACUACGUGGCCAGUUGUUCGUGUAUGACAACGUUAACCAGAAGAUUGGGUGGAUAAGAUCAAAUUGUGAACGGCCAGAGAACGUUCCCAGUCUUCCAUUUUUUUGAUAGAUAAACACUAAUAUAUAAUUUCUGUUUUAUAUGUUUGGGAAGAGGCUGUAUAUAUGUAUUCUGCUUUCUAAUGUAGAGCUAUGCUCAUAGUGUGCAUAUCCAA